rnacentral:rRNA from 1 species
CACGCCGUAAACGAUGAGUACUAGGUGUCGGGGGUAUCGACCCCCCCUGUGCCGCAGUAAACACAAUAAGUACUCCGCCUGGGAAGUACGAUCGCAAGAUUAAAACUCAAAGGAAUUGACGGGGACCCGCACAAGCAGCGGAGCAUGUGGUUUAAUUCGAAGCAACGCGAAGAACCUUACCUGGACUUGACAUCCCCGGAAUAACUCGUAAUGGAGGAAGCCCUUCGGGGCAGGGAGACAGGUGG